rnacentral:lncRNA from 1 species
UUUUGAAAAGUCGCUAGCCAUCCAUCACAGCACUCCAGCUGUGCAUUGUGUUCAACUUAAAAAAGGAACGCAUGAAGAAUAGCUUUGUUUGCAUUCUGGUAACUGCUGAGGCUUUGGCUGACGACAGCUUUCAGCUGCACCUGAACUAGGCUGGAUUUGUCUCCUGCUCUCCAUAGGUGAGUGUUUCUCUUGCAGACCUUUGAAUCGAUGAUUCCCCUGCUAUUUGUCUCUUCUGGUUGCUGGAGAGAAGAGCUCCAAUGUCACAUCCUGAUCCGUAAGGUGAUCAAGCUUGGUGAUUGUCAGUAAUUCAGGAUAUGCUUGCUUUUCUUUAAGUGAACUAAGGGAUAAGCUAU